GGGGAUAUAUAUAGCUCAGUUGGUAGAGUGCUUGCCUUGCUUGCACUAAGGCCCUGGGUUCAAUCCCCAGCACCCCA
rnacentral:tRNA from 1 species